UUUUGUCAGAAAGAUUCUUUAUACAUCAGUGUGACAAGAGUUGACUCUGGAUAUUUAGAAGUAGAGAGCUCUCCAGCUGCUCUGUCUGUGCUUUUCUGCUGCCUCACUCAGAGUCAGUCUGCUCUGUUAGAUGUUCCUGGUUGUCAGAGAGCACAGGAAGAAAUGACAGGAAACAAGACUUAUUUAAAAGAGAGAAAGAAGACUUGAGAGCAUUAUCCUUACAAGUGGAGCAGACUUAUUUCUCACCAAGUGCUCAAUAACUCAUCCUUAGAAUCAUUGCAUUAAAAUUUAAGUGUCAAACACUGGUCACAAUGUGAUAGUAAC